GUACAUGAUGACACAAUGGAUCCUUCUGAUCCUUCCAUCAAAGUACUCUAGGAACUGGAUCUGAAGACUCCUAAAAGCUGAA
rnacentral:snoRNA from 1 species